rnacentral:rRNA from 1 species
AGCGCAGGCGGGAAGACAAGUUGGAAGUGAAAACCAUGGGCUCAACCCAUGAAUUGCUUUCAAAACUGUUUUUCUUGAGUAGUGCAGAGGUAGAUGGAAUUCCCGGUGUAGCGGUGGAAUGCGUAGAUAUCGGGGGGAACGACCAGUGGCGAAGGCGGUCUACUGGGCACCAACUGACGCUGAGGCUCGAAAGCAUGGGUAGCAAACA